ACACAGAUGUGAAAAGAGAAUGCACCUCAUUAGACAAAAAUGUUGACUUUUGUCCAAAGUUAGCUGUGAAUAGGUGUCAAACUCAAGGACCGGGGGCCACAUCUGGACCGCCACACCAUUUUAUGUGGCCCACAAAAGCAGAUUAUUUGAAUCAGCUUCUAUGAUACUUGCUAAAAUCUGGACCAACAUUUCAAAUUGUUGUAUGUAAUAAUAACGUGGAGAUAUUACAGGUAUAUUACAAGCAUUUUUUGUUACUAAACCCAUUGUUUUAAAGUAACUUGAUCAGUAGUUGAACAAACAAUUACCCCUGACUUCUGUUUUCAAAUAGAGUUAUCCAUCAAUUUGUUGUGUGGACCGGGCCCCCCCAAAAAAAUGAAAAAAUUGUAAAGAAUUGAAAAAUAAUUUCAAUAAAAAAAUAAAGAAAUAAUAAUCAUCGAAUAGGUAAAUCUGCAGGUGCCAACCCAUGAGUAUGUGGGGCUCCACUGAUUUAUAAUGCGGCGAUGAAACAUUUAUAUGCUUUCAAAGUCAUAAGGGCCCUCUGAGGGGAAUUGUAGCGACAAUGUGGCCCGUGACAAAAAUGAGUUUGACACCCCUGGUCGAGAUGAUCAAUAAAAUAACACAGUGCUUGUAACUCAAAAGACUCAUAUCUCAAAUCAUCAGCCGAGGUUAUUAUAGUACACGAAAAUUAACGAAAUAACUAAAACUAAAAUUGAAAAAACAUUUUCGUAAAUGAAGUAAAGUAAAAAGGAGACUGUUGUUGAAAAACGAUAACUAAAAUGACAUUUUAUGUUGACAAAACUAACAAAAAGAAGCUAUAAUUAAAGCAAAAAUAUCAUUAGUUUUCAUCUUUGUCGAUUGAUUUCAUAAAUGAACUUUUGGUGUUGAUUUUAAAUAUAUUUAUUUCGGAUAACUACAUAGAUACAGCACAGAUACGAAAGGAAGGUCGAUCAGUCCUUUGGGAAUUUUUGUUCACUUACUAUAUAUUGCUAGAAACGAUAUCAUCGGGCAGCACCGUUGUAUUGACUGCUCGCCAGACCAAGCACAAAUAAGCUAACUUUUACGUCCAAGCUGUUUUUGUUGCCAUGUGUUGCUAACGGAAGCGGCUAAGACGGCUACCGACUAGCUAGCGCCUUUGCACGUCCGUUAUUCUUGUCUUGGGGAAAACUCCGAGAAACAGACGACUGCCAAGCGUCUCAAUAUGCCGCUGUUUCCUGCCACAAAAGGCAGACAGAUGUGAAAGCAAACAAGGAGUUUGUCUCUCUGACACAGUAGGUAAUUGGACGACUGCAACAACAGGACAUUUUCACAGGACUAAAUAAGCAACAGCAGGAAAACUUGAAAAGCUUUGUCACAAAAAUCAUGGACUCAGCAAGAAAACAGACUGGAUGCCCUUUCACUGGAAAUACACCAACAUAGAAAGCAUCUCUACUGGGCCACGGAGAAGAAGGACUGGACUGUUGGCCAGUGGUCAUAGGUCCUCUUUUCCGAUGAAAGUAAAGUGUGCCUUUCAUUCGGGAAUCAAGGUCCCAGGGUUUGGAGGAAGACUGGUGAAGAACAGAACCCAAGCUGCUUGAGGUCACUGCAACAGUUACCAGAAUGUUUGAGAGGACUUCAUGAUUCCUUCUGCUGACGAUCUGUAUGGAAAUGCAGAUUUCAUCUUCCUGCAGGACCUGGCCCCUGCCCAUACCACCAGAAGCACCAAAACCGGGUUGGAUGCCCAUGACGUCGCAAUGCUUGACUGGCCAGCCAACUCGCCUGAUCUAAACCCCAUUGAUAAUCUAUGGGGUAUUAUCAAGAGAAAAAUGGGGGGCACCAGACCCAAAAGCAAAGACGAACUGACAGCAAGCAUCAAGGAAAGCUGGGCUUGCAUAACUCCCAGGCAAUGUCACAGGCUGAUUGUCUCAAUGCCCCGGCGCAUCGAGGCAGUGAUUAAAGCAAAGGGAUUCCCAACCAAGUAUUGAAGCUGAACGUUUUGAAAGUACCAUAUUUUGUUAGAUUUAAUGUGACCCUAAUUUCUUUCCUUUUUUCUCUGCAAAAACUGAUAAGUAAAUGGGGAUUUCUUCACAGUAUUCAAAUUUGUUGAAUUCCUGAUUUUGUGGGUCUUAGAGCGGGAAGCCCAAAUUAUGUAAAAAUAAACAAAUAAAUACUUGAAAUUGUUUAAAUUGUGGGCCCCGAAUCUAUAAUCUAUGAAAGUUUUACUUUUUGAAUGAAAUUAUGGAAAUAAAGAAACUUUUUCAUGAUAUUCGAAUUUUUUGGAAAGGGUCUGUAUAUUGUUGCUGGAUUAGGGUUAGGUUAAAAUGACAAAAUUAUGGGGACAAAAAUGAUUGGAAACACUGUAUAGCUGGUGGGGACAAAGGAAUGUACUGUACUAUUAUGUGGCAGUAUUAACUCAUGUUUUAUAUAUAACUGUUGGGUGGAAUGCCCUCACCUCCAAAAUCACAACUUUUCAGAAAAAAAAGACGUUACACUGUCAUAAGAACAA